rnacentral:rRNA from 1 species
GUGGGGAAUCUUGCGCAAUGGGCGAAAGCCUGACGCAGCCAUGCCGCGUGAAUGAUGAAGGUCUUAGGAUUGUAAAAUUCUUUCACCGGGGACGAUAAUGACGCUACCCGGAGAAGAAGCCCCGGCUAACUUCGUGCCAGCAGCCGCGGUAAUACGAAGGGGGCUAGCGUUGCUCGGAAUUACCGGGCGUAAAGGGCGCGUAGGCGGACAGUUUAGUCAGAGGUGAACGCCCAGGGCUCAACCUUGGGAUUGCCUUUGAUACUGGCUGUCUUGAGUACGGGAGAGGUGAGUGGAACUCCGAGUGUAGAGGUGAAAUUCGUAGAUAUUCGGAAGAACACCAGUGGCGAAGGCGACUCACUGGCCCGUUACUGACGCUGAGGCGCGAAAGCGUGGGGAGCAAACAGGAUUAGAAACCCUAGUAGUCC